rnacentral:rRNA from 1 species
GAUGAACGCUGGCGGCGUGCUUAACACAUGCAAGUCGAACGAUGAAGCCCAGCUUGCUGGGUGGAUUAGUGGCGAACGGGUGAGUAACACGUGAGUAACCUGCCCUUAACUCUGGGAUAAGCCUGGGAAACUGGGUCUAAUACCGGAUAGGAGCGUCCACCGCAUGGUGGGUGUUGGAAAGAUUUAUCGGUUUUGGAUGGACUCGCGGCCUAUCAGCUUGUUGGUGAGGUAAUGGCUCACCAAGGCGACGACGGGUAGCCGGCCUGAGAGGGUGACCGGCCACACUGGGAAUGAGACACGGCCCAGACUCCUACGGGAGGCAGCAGUGGGGAAUAUUGCACAAUGGGCGCCAGCCUUAUGCAGCGACGCCGCGUGAGGGCUGACGGCCUUCGGGUUGUAAACCUCUUUCAGUAGGGAAGAAGCGAAAGUGACGGUACCUGCAGAAGAAGCACCGGCUAACUACGUG